CGUAGGGUGCGAGCGUUAAUCGGAAUUACUGGGCGUAAAGUGUGCGCAGGCGGCCGAGCAAGUCGAGUGUGAAAGCCCCGAGCUUAACUUGGGAACUGCGCUCGAAACUACUUGGCUAGAGUGUGGCAGAGGGAGGUGGAAUUCCACGUGUAGCGGUGAAAUUCGUAGAGAUGUGGAGGAACACCGAUGGCGAAGGCAGCCUCCUGGGCCAACACUGACGCUCAUGCACGAAAGCGUGGGGAGCAAACAGGAUUAGAUACCCUGGUAGUCCACGCCCUAAACGAUGAUGACUAGUUGUUGGAGGAGUUAAAUCCUUUAGUAACGCAGCUAACGCGUGAAGUCAUCCGCCUGGGGAGUACGGUCGCAAGAUUA
rnacentral:rRNA from 1 species